AGAGUUUGAUCAUGGCUCAGGACGAACGCUGGCGGCGUGCUUAACACAUGCAAGUCGAACGGAAAGGCCCCUUCGGGGGUACUCGAGUGGCGAACGGGUGAGUAACACGUGGGUGAUCUGCCCUGCACUUUGGGAUAAGCCUGGGAAACUGGGUCUAAUACCGAAUAGGACCGCAUGCUUCAUGGUGUGUGGUGGAAAGCUUUUGCGGUGUGGGAUGGGCCCGCGGCCUAUCAGCAUGUUGGUGGGGUAAUGGCCUACCAAGGCGACGACGGGUAGCCGGCCUGAGAGGGUGUCCGGCCACACUGGGACUGAGAUACGGCCCAGACUCCUACGGGAGGCAGCAGUGGGGAAUAUUGCACAAUGGGCGCAAGCCUGAUGCAGCGACGCCGCGUGGGGGAUGACGGCCUUCGGGUUGUAAACCUCUUUCAGUAUCGGCGAAGCUCCAGGAUUUUUCUUGGGGUGACGGUAGGUACAGAAGAAGCACCGGCCAACUACGUGCCAGCAGCCGCGGUAAUACGUAGGGUGCGAGCGUUGUCCGGAAUUACUGGGCGUAAAGAGCUCGUAGGUGGUUUGUCACGUUGUCUGUGAAAACUCACAGCUUAACUGUGGGCGUGCGGGCGAUACGGGCAGACUGGAGUACUGUAGGGGAGACUGGAAUUCCUGGUGUAGCGGUGGAAUGCGCAGAUAUCAGGAGGAACACCGGUGGCGAAGGCGGGUCUCCGGGCAGUAACUGACGCUGAGGAGCGAAAGCGUGGGGAGCGAACGGGAUUAGAUACCCUGGUAGUCCAA
rnacentral:rRNA from 1 species